rnacentral:lncRNA from 1 species
GCCAGGUGGUGCCGUCUCACCUGGAAACGAGCUCCCCGGGUCAGGCGGGGAAACUGAGGCCCGCGGAGCCAGGCUGUCGUCCCCUGGAGCUCCUUCUGCUCCACGAGGGGCUGCUGGACAGCGCGCGGGACUCGCGGUUAAAUCUGAAUUUCAGAUAACAAAUAAUUUUAAGUUUACUGCAAAUAUUGAAAAUUUUUUCAUUGUUUAUCUGAAAUUGAAAUUAAACCAGACGCCCGGGGUUUAUCUCCAUAUCCCCUGGGGCCCAUCCACAUCCCCUCCCGGAUGGGCUUUCCCGGCAGAUGCCUGGUCCUGGCAGCCCAAAAGAUCAGAAAAAUAGUCAUCGCCAUCAAAUAGUAAUUGGAAAAAUCUCUGCCUGCCUCAAACCACGUCCCUCCCUGCUUGGAAGCCUCUCAUGGCUCCCGUCGCCCACCUACGGGAAAGACCCUACUCAUCUCCGCUGCUGGCAAGAUAAUUGUAGCCUCUCCUGCAGAGCCGUCUCCCUCGUUCCCUUCACCAGCUGCCCCGACAGUAACUCAGCAGCGUUUUGCAAAACCGCGGCACGGCAUGGCCACCAGGAGGCCCACACUGAGGCCACCCUCCCAUCUGACCCGGAUCUUCUUUUCCUGGGACCUGUGAGUGUGGUUAGCUCUCUGCGACUUUGUCACCUGGCUGCUACCCAGAUGGAACCAGACAUCGUGUCACCCGUGGGUCCUUCACGCUCGCCGAGAUUCCCGGAGAGCCACGUGGGGUGUUGUGUGUGUCUGUGGUGUGUUCUUGACCUUGUGCUGCUGAGCGGUGCUCCGUGGGGUGCAUGCACCACAGCGGGUUUCACCCCCCACCUGCCGAAGGACGCCUGGGGUGUCCCCAGUUUGGGGCUUUUGAUAAUAAAGCUGCUGCCGAC